UUUAUGGAGAGUUUGAUCCUGGCUCAGGAUGAACGCUGGCGGCGUGCCUAAUACAUGCAAGUCGAGCGAACAGACGAGGAGCUUGCUCCUCUGACGUUAGCGGCGGACGGGUGAGUAACACGUGGAUAACCUACCUAUAAGACUGGGAUAACUUCGGGAAACCGGAGCUAAUACCGGAUAAUAUAUUGAACUGCAUGGUUCA
rnacentral:rRNA from 1 species